rnacentral:rRNA from 1 species
AUAUUAAAUAAUAAAUGAUAGUAUGUUAUAUUAUUAUUAAAAUAUAUAAAUAAAUUUAUUUUAAUAACACCAUUUUAUAUCUAAUAUAUUAAGAAUAAUUAAUUAAUUAUAUAGUCUAAUAAUUUAAUUUUUAGUGCCAGCAGUCGCGGUUAUACUUAUAAUCUUUCAUAUAAUAAAAAAUUAAACAAAACUUAUUAAUAACUUAAUAAUUUCAAGUGAAAUUCUAUUAAACCUAAUUAAAAUUUAUUAUUAAUUAAAAAUUUAAAUUUAAAAUAGGAUUAGAUACCCUAGUAUAUUAAAAUAUUUAAGGUAGUAUUAAUUAAUAAAACCUAAUUAUAAUGGCGGCUUUCAUCUUAUUAGAGGAAUUUGUUAAUUAAUCGAUAAUCCACGUUACUUUUCACUUUAAAAAAAGCUUAUAUAUCGCCAUCUAAAAGAAUUUUUACAUCAAUUUUUUCAAAAUAAUUUAUAAAAAGUUAGGUCAAGGUGUAGUUUAUAUUAAAGAUUUAAAUGAAUUACACUAAGAUUAAUUUAAGGAAAAAUAAACUAAAUUUUCUUUUGAAAAAGGAUUUAUUAGUAAUAAUUUAAUACUAAUUUAAUAUGAAUAAUUAUUAAAGUGUGCAUAUCGCCCGUCACCCUUAUCUUUAAGAUAAGGUAAGUCGUAACAUAGUUGAUAUUUUGGAAAAAAUAUCAAG